ensembl:lncRNA
CCCCGAGCGCCCUUGGUGUCGUGGGCCGGUCCCCGCCCUGGCGGCGCGGCGCGGUCGGGCGGCGGACUGAGGACAGUCCGGCCCGGUCGACAGCCGCGUCGGGGGCGGAGGGGCCCCGUCCCGCGCGCCCCCGCCCGCCCCCCCCCCCCGGAGAGGGGGGGUUGAGGACGGGGGGCCGGGAAAGGCGCGGAGCGCCCUUGGUGUCGUGGGCCGGUCCCCGCCCUGGCGGCGCGGCGCGGUCGGGCGGCGGACUGAGGACAGUCCGGCCCGGUCGACAGCCGCGUCGGGGGCGGAGGGGCCCCGUCCCGCGCGCCCCCGCCCGCCCCCCCCCCCCGGAGAGGGGGGGUUGAGGACGGGGGGCCGGGAAAGGCGCGGAGCGCCCUUGGUGUCGUGGGCCGGUCCCCGCCCUGGCGGCGCGGCGCGGUCGGGCGGCGGACUGAGGACAGUCCGGCCCGGUCGACAGCCGCGUCGGGGGCGGAGGGGCCCCGUCCCGCGCGCCCCCGCCCGCCCCCCCCCCCGGAGAGGGGGGGUUGAGGACGGGGGGCCGGGAAAGGCGCGGAGGUAGCUCGCCCGCGGCCCCGGGGUAAGCGGCGAAGUCGGGGCGGGGGGGCGCUGUAAAGCUCGGGGCCGGAGCCACGAGCCACCUUCGCCCCC